GCUUCUGAAGAAUCAUUUGAAGUACUUAGUGGCGGACGGGUGAGUAACGCGUGGGUAACCUGCCUCACACAGGGGGAUAACAGUUGGAAACGACUGUUAGUACCGCAUAAGCGCACAGUACCGCAUGGUACAGUGUGAAAAACUCCGGUGGUGUGAGAUGGACCCGCGUCUGAUUAGCUAGUUGGUGAGGUAACGGCCCACCAAGGCGACGAUCAGUAGCCGGCCUGAGAGGGUGUACGGCCACAUUGGGACUGAGACACGGCCCAAACUCCUACGGGAGGCAGCAGUGGGGAAUAUUGCACAAUGGGGGAAACCCUGAUGCAGCGACGCCGCGUGAGUGAUGAAGUAUCUCGGUAUGUAAAGCUCUAUCAGCAGGGAAGAUAAUGACGGUACCUGACUAAGAAGCACCGGCUAAAUACGUGCCAGCAGCCGCGGUAAUACGUAUGGUGCAAGCGUUAUCCGGAUUUACUGGGUGUAAAGGGUGCGUAGGUGGUUGCGCAAGUCAGAAGUGAAAACUAUGGGCUCAACCCAUAGACUGCUUUUGAAACUGCGUAACUAGAGUGCAGGAGAGGAAAGUGGAAUUCCUAGUGUAGCGGUGAAAUGCGUAGAUAUUAGGAGGAACACCAGUGGCGAAGGCGGCUUUCUGGACUGCAACUGACACUGAGGCACGA
rnacentral:rRNA from 1 species